AAGCGAAACACAGGCAUACGUGCCUGUGUCUGCCAAGUGUCGUGACUUGGUACUGAUGAGCAGCGAGGG
rnacentral:hammerhead_ribozyme from 1 species